UGAUAAAGAAGACUGUCGGCGAUCGGUCGAGCUCGGCCAGUCCACGGUCGUCGGUCGGUCGCCACGAAGGUCGAGAUCCGGACGAUAUGAAGCUCUGGUUGCGCAUGCGACUUGGGGCGGCUGGUCGUGUCCCAGUGGCAGGCUCACCGUCGGCGUGCCGUGCUUUCGGGCUGUCGGUAAUGUCGAUAAGCCGCCCAAGACAUGCUCGGAUGACCGCUUCGAGCUCCCGUGCACUGCAUCGCCCGUCUUCCUCUUCUCCGACUCCGGCCACCACCGCCGCCGCCUCUCGAUCUCCACCGCCCGUGAUUAACCGUCGGAUUCCUGUGGUUGAUAGUUGAUAAGGGAAACAGGGAUAAAAAGACAAGAGAAAUAGGGACUGCGGGCAUGAUUUCCUGAAAUAUUGAGGGGUUUUCCGCAAAAGAGCCGGUCCGACCAGGUGUGCCACGCAGCAGCCAGCCAGCUGGGCGCCAAUUGUCCGUCUCUGAUUGGCUGUGGACUAAACCAUCACAUAGUUUGCAAGUUUGUGGAUGAAUAGAUCAUCUUUUGCAAGUUUAUGGACUAAACCAUCACAUACAACGCAAGUUUCUGGGUCUCUA